AUGUUCUUACAACCGAUGCCUUU
rnacentral:misc_RNA from 1 species